rnacentral:snRNA from 1 species
GUGCUCACUUUGGCAGCACAUAUACUAAAAUUGGGAAAUACAGAGAUUAGGAUGGCCCCUGUGUAAAGAUGACAGGCAAAUUUGUGAAGUGUUCCAAAAUUUU